GUCAUACAGUCCAAGAAGAUACUUAUGCUGAUGGAUGCAAUGGGAGACGAAAGAAACUAUAUUUUUAGAGUAAACCACAACUGGAAUUUGCCAAGGAGUUCCUGCAGUUGAGGUCAAUCUCUGAAGUACCAACGUCUGCUGAAUAUAUAACUAAGUCAAGACUCGAAUUAGCGUGUGCCCUACUGCAGUAUAAAGAUGAGGGAGAUCAUCUGAAUUGAAGAAGACUUUGCUGAUUCCGGUGACAUAGGAGACAACAGCAGACUUCCACUUAGCCGGUUUCAAACACAUGUUGCAGACACGACUGAACCGUCUCCCAGUGACCAUGUUGGAAACCAAGUUGCCUUUUACGAGCCAAUUUAUAAUUAAAUUAUCAUACAUGACGUGUAAAGUGCUUAUAAUUUUGUUGUACAUUAAAGUAUA